UACAGAGGUCUCAAGCGUUGUUCGGAUUCAUUGGGCGUAAAGGGUGCGUAGGCGGCGCGGUAAGUCGGGUGUGAAAUCUCGGAGCUUAACUCCGAAACUGCAUUCGAUACUGCCGUGCUUGAGGACUGGAGAGGAGACUGGAAUUUACGGUGUAGCGGUGAGAUGCGUAGAUAUCGUAAGGAAGACCAGUGGCGAAGGCGGGUCUCGUGGACAGUUCCUGACGCUGAGGCACGAAGGUCAGGGGGAGCAAAACGGG
rnacentral:rRNA from 1 species